rnacentral:lncRNA from 1 species
AACCUGUCGCAGCGCCUUUGGGAAGCCUGGUUUAUGGUUCCUGAAGGGCGCUGGCGUUACAAGGCCCCGAAACGGGGGUUGCAGUUGUGGGGGUGACUAACGAGGCUGGCUCUUGCUCUUCUGGCGUUCCCUGAGGUCGGAACCAGGAACGAGGUUCCAAAUAGCUGAAUUCAACGUGUUCUGUUCUGGGAACUGGCAGUGCACAAGCAAGUCGCUGGCCCCACCCGUAUGCAGCAUAAGGAAAUGUUGAAAAGACUGCCCGGGUCAAUAAACCUGGACGUGGCAAAUUUCAAAGAAAGUAAUUCAAACACAGGUGGGGUCCUGGCUUAUAUCUAUUGGAUUUGGCUGCCAUUUGGCAGCUGCUCGUUGGACAGGGAGAGACGAGGAGGUGACUCAGAGCCUGGAGGACAGCAGACUGCACAAACCAUGAUAAUGGCCAGCAAGGAUGGAGGGAGCGUAUGAGAUGUGCCGGGCAGUGUGCUACGUCUCAGCCAACUCUAGGAGAUGGAAUGAAGACUGUUUGUUAAAACACCCUGCCCCUCUGUUUACUUGGACCUGAUUUUGAAAGUACAAGUCACUUUAUUUGGGCUGGAGGAAAAAGCACUAAACCAGAUGUUGAGGUGACCGGGAUUCCUGGAAGACGUUCUUCUCUCCGACGAGACGCGUGAUGCAUGAAGUAGGAGCCCCUGGCAAGGAGCCCAGGCUGCCAUGGCCUCGCUCGCUCAUGCUUCCCGGCAUGGCCCCGAGGCUAGCUGCCUCUGUACUGCCUGAGCAUCAUCCCCUGGUGUGUCACCAGACUACUCACUAUCUGUGCUUGCACCUGCGGGUAGGCAGUUCAGUCGCCGCAGGCCGAAGCUCCCUGUCAUAGGAAUCCAUCAACACUGGAGUUCACCAAAUGGCCCAGUCCAGGAAGCAUGGUCAUGGCAAUACCUGGAGUCUCCACCGCAAGACCAGAGUGAUGGAGGCAGCAGAGCUCCUCAGCAGACCAGGAGUCUCCAGAGGCACUGCAGAAUGUCUAGGAAGCAACCUCAUUGUAUUCCCAAGACCCGGGAAUCCAGGUCUCACAGGACCUGGCACUGGACUCCGGGCCGCCCCUGCCCCUGGUCCGUCAGUGUUGCUCAAACUAGAAACAGACAGAAGCCACUGGAAGACAGACAGAGCCGCUGACCUAAGCCCAAAGCCAAGGUGGAAUGUGAAAUAUGAACUAUUUACACAUCUCCUAUUUCCAUGGACUAAGAAAAACAGAGAAAGCUGGGCACAGAGCUAUAACUGA